rnacentral:rRNA from 1 species
AGGGCCGCGGUAUUCUGACCGUGCAAAGGUAGCAUAAUAAGUAGUCUUUUAAUUGGAGACUGGAAUGAAAGGUUGUAUGAGGGACAUGCUGUCUUUUCUUUUCAUUUAGAAUUUAACUUUUCAGUGAAAAGGCUGGGAUUUUUUGGUGGGACGAUAAGACCCUAUAAAACUUUAUAUAUUAAUUUUGGUGUUUAAAUUUAAGUUUAAUUAAGGUUAAUGUGAAUUAUAUUUCGUUGGGGAGAUGUUGAUAAAAAUUGUAACUGUCUUUGUAAUUUAAUAAUUGUAGUUAGAGUAUGAUCCUUUAUUAUGGAUUAAAAGACUAAGUUACUUUAGGGAUAACAGCGUAAUUUUCUCUGAGAGCCCGUAUCGACGAGAAUAGUUGCGACCUCGAUGUUGAAUUAAAAUUUCAGAUUGGUGUAGCCGCUUUUCUGGUAGGUCUGUUCGACCUUUAAAAUUUU